rnacentral:rRNA from 1 species
UGAGGGAAUAUUGGGUCAAUGGGCGCAGGCCUGAACCAGCCAAGUCGCGUGAGGGAAGACGGUCCUACGGAUUGUAAACCUCUUUUGUCGGGGAGUAACGUGCGGGACGCGUCCCGUAUUGAGAGUACCCGAAGAAAAAGCAUCGGCUAACUCCGUGCCAGCAGCCGCGGUAAUGCGGGGGGAUGCGAGCGUUAUCCGGAUUUAUUGGGUUUAAAGGGUGCGUAGGCGGUCUGUUAAGUCAGCGGUGAAAGACCGGCGCUCAACGCCGGGGCUGCCGUUGAUACUGGCGGACUUGAAUUCGGAUGCCGUUGGGGGGAAUGUGUGGUGUAGCGGUGAAAUGCAUAGAUAUCACACAGAACACCGAUUGCGAAGGCACCUGACGAAUCCGACAUUGACGCUGAGGCACGAAAGCGUGGGGGAUCAAACAGGAUUAGAUACCCUGGUAGU